rnacentral:rRNA from 1 species
AGCGAACGCUGGCGGUAGGCCUAACACAUGCAAGUCGAACGGCAGCACAGGAGAGCUUGCUCUCUGGGUGGCGAGUGGCGGACGGGUGAGGAAUACAUCGGAAUCUACUUUUUCGUGGGGGAUAACGUAGGGAAACUUACGCUAAUACCGCAUACGGCCUACGGGUGAAAGCAGGGGACCUUCGGGCCUUGCGCGAUUGAAUGAGCCGAUGUCGGAUUAGCUAGUUGGCGGGGUAAAGGCCCACCAAGGCGACGAUCCGUAGCUGGUCUGAGAGGAUGAUCAGCCACACUGGAACUGAGACACGGUCCAGACUCCUACGGGAGGCAGCAGUGGGGAAUAUUGGACAAUGGGCGCAAGCCUGAUCCAGCCAUACCGCGUGGGUGAAGAAGGCCUUCGGGUUGUAAAGCCCUUUUGUUGGGAAAGAAAUCCAGCUGGCUAAUACCCGGUUGGGAUGACGGUACCCAAAGAAUAAGCACCGGCUAACUUCGUGCCAGCCGCCGCAGUAA